rnacentral:lncRNA from 1 species
CGCAGGGGGCCCGAUCCGAGCACUGCUGGGCUCUCGCAGCGCCGCCGCCGUCGGGCGCGCAGCUCUGCAGCGCGGCGAACGCCUCGGCGCGCCCGCAGCCCCCUGGAGCCCGGCGGCCCCGCAUUGUCCCUGGCCCCGUGGCCGAUAUCCGGGACGAGCGUCGGGGGCUGCAGGCAAAGAAGGGCCAGUUCUAAGAGGUCUUGCUGCACAGCUCUCUCCGAAUGGCUGCUCUUUGAGACCGAGUUCUGAGUGGAGUCCUGUGCUAUCGGACUGGCGGCUGCCUUUCUUCUCUGGCGGUGUGUAUGUUCUCCAUGUUUCCAGGGGAGCUCUCAUAAAAAGGGGUGGUGAGCAAAGGAUGAGUUGUAACCUGUGCAUUUAUCAGACUAAUGUCAUAGAACCACUGACCAUGAGUCCUGAAGGAUUUCCUCAAGUCUUCGUGCUCAGAUGCUAAGGAACUCCAGCCAGUGGUUGCUGUGGUGCCUUUUGACCUCAGAUGAUGUUUUGACCUCAGAUGAUGUUUUGACCUCAGAUGAUGUUUCCUACAUUUUCAAUGGGGAACAAAGAGUUGCUACUUUAGGUAUGUUGGAAGUUACGAGAAGGUGAACAAAG